rnacentral:snRNA from 1 species
CCUCUGGUCGAUGGAACA